rnacentral:lncRNA from 1 species
ACUUGAUGUACUUGUAACCUGAGCUCUGGCAAUUGUCAGAGCAAAAAGCAAACAGGAACACUCCGUUCCAGUGCAUAUUUUUCAAACAUAUUCAAAAGGCAAAUGGUGCUGCAGAAAGCAUAUUUGCUGCUGAAAUACAGAUCAUUCACUAUGUCAUGACUGCCCUGCUCCGAACACUUGCAUGCAGUCUGAAGGAUUCUUAGGAUGGCUGAAGCCUGUUUUUCCUUUGCAGGAUAAAUAUAUAGGAAACAAGAAAAUUCAAAAUCAGACGUAAAUCUUGACAAAUAAUGAUCAACGAAUGGCAACAAUCACAGCGAAGCCAACACGGCUACCACAGGCUCUUCAACUUGUUCCUGUCUCCAGCUUGCACUGCAAAAUCAGCAGCAAUGGCAACCCAUUCUGGAAUAACGUUCAUCAAUGAACUGCACCAGGAGCUCAUUCAGGUUCAGAACUGCCAUGGUUUAAAAGAAUGCACUGGAGCCAAAAUGAGGGAGAAGGAAAGGAGAGGCAGAGGAGGAGACGGAGAGAGCAAGGAGAGUGUGCACCCAUCAUGA